rnacentral:rRNA from 1 species
UAAUGGCAGUUCGAGCGCGGGAAGCAAGCAGAUCUCCUUCGGGAGUGACGCUUGUGGAACGAGCGGCGGACGGGUGAGUAACACGUGGGCAACCUACCUGUAAGACUGGGAUAACUCCGGGAAACCGGGGCUAAUACCGGAUGAAACAAAGCGUCGCAUGACGCAAUGUUAAAAGGCGGCAUAUGCUGUCACUUACAGAUGGGCCCGCGGCGCAUUAGCUAGUUGGUGAGGUAAAGGCUCACCAAGGCAACGAUGCGUAGCCGACCUGAGAGGGUGAUCGGCCACACUGGGACUGAGACACGGCCCAGACUCCUACGGGAGGCAGCAGUAGGGAAUCUUCCGCAAUGGACGAAAGUCUGACGGAGCAACGCCGCGUGAGUGAUGAAGGUUUUCGGAUCGUAAAACUCUGUUGUUAGGGAAGAACAAGUGCCAUUCGAAUAGGUUGGCACCUUGACGGUACCUAACCAGAAAGCCCCGGCUAACUACGUGCCAGCAGCCGCGGUAAUACGUAGGGGGCAAGCGUUGUCCGGAAUUAUUGGGCGUAAAGCGCGCGCAGGCGGUCCUUUAAGUCUGAUGUGAAAGCCCACGGCUUAACCGUGGAGGGCCAUUGGAAACUGGAGGACUUGAGUACAGAAGAGGAGAGUGGAAUUCCACGUGUAGCGGUGAAAUGCGUAGAGAUGUGGAGGAACACCAGUGGCGAAGGCGACUCUCUGGUCUGUAACUGACGCUGAGGUGCGAAA